AUUUUCAACACUGAAUUUAAUUUAUCGUUUUUUGCACCCAAAAAAGAUCAGGGCGAUCUCUGCGAGUCUUAUAAAAAUGCCACUUGAGAAGACCAAAUCAAAUUAUAAGAAUGUUACGAAAAACACCUAAAGCAGAAAACAUUAAGUAGGGAAGAGAAAGCGAAGGAUAUAGAGUUGGUAAAAGAAAAUGAAGAAACUGUCGUUGCAAUAUAUGAUUUACAGGCAGUUAUGCCUGUACCUAUUGGUAAUAGUUCAGCGUUCUUCUACAAAUCGAAAUUAAAUUGUUUAAAUUUUACGAUUACAAAUAUAAAAGAUAACAUUACUUAUUGCUAUUUUUGGCACGAGGGACUUGGCAAUAGAGGAGCUGUAGAAAUUGGUUCUUGUGUAUUGAAAUUUCUGAAAGAGACUGCCGAAAUCCAAAAAAUGUAGCAAUAUAAUAUUCUACUCUGACAACUGCUGUGGUCAGCAGAAAAACAGAUUCCUGGUUAGCAUGUAUUAUUACGCCGUUGAAACUCUUCCAAUAAAAUCGAUUACCCAUAAAUAUUUGAUUCGUGGCCACACACAAAAUGAGGGUGACAAUGCUCAUUCGCUAAUCGAAAAGUCAAUUAAAAGAGCAAAAAAGUCUGGUCCUAUCUACAUUCCUUACCAGUAUGUUCAACUUAUACGAGACUCAAAGAAAACUGGAAAUGCUUUUGUAGUUAACGAAUUGAACUAUGACGAUUUUUAUGCUUUAAAAAAGUUGUUUGAGGAUAUUACAUUAAAUGUUAACAAAGAUCUGCAAGGUAACCAGAUUAAAUUAUCUGAAAUAAAAUCUAUACCUACGAUUUGUAAAAAAUUCUGAGACUUAUGAUUUAAAAUAUUCUUAUGAGGGGGAAUGGAUAUCAGUAAAAUCAAAAGCAACCAUUAAUACGCGUAAAACUCGAUCAGAUAAUAAUUUACACAUUAGUGAAAUACGUUUAAGAGCAGCUUAUAAUUCUAAACUAACGAUUUCUGAUCAAAAAAAACAGGAUUUGCGGACUUUAUUACAAAAAAAUAUUAUUCCAAGAUGCUAUUCUGGAUUUUACGAAAGUUUGUUUUAUAUAUUUUUAUCUGUUGUCUAUUUUAAUAUUUCAAAAUAAUUGUCAAUCACAGAAGUCCUUUGAGUACUUCACAACAAUUAUGGUUUAAUAAGUGGUCUAACAUUCCAUUGAUUAUAAAGUUUAUAAUUAUAUUGAGUAAGUUUAACGUUUAGGAGUAACUUUUUGCAAG